rnacentral:rRNA from 1 species
GACGUAGGGCGCGAGCGUUGUCCGGAUUUAUUGGGCGUAAAGAGCUCGUAGGCGGCUUGUCGCGUCGACUGUGAAAUCCCGCGGCUCAACUGCGGGUCUGCAGUCGAUACGGGCAGGCUAGAGUUCGGUAGGGGAGACUGGAAUUCCUGGUGUAGCGGUGAAAUGCGCAGAUAUCGGGAGGAACACCUAUGGCGAAGGCAGCUCGCUGGGACGUUACUGACGCUGAGACGCGAAAGCGUGGGGAGCAAACAGG